AGGGACCAUGCACAAAAUGCAUUAACCUCAGAGGAGAAGAGAUGCCUUGCACCACAGGUAGUCUGCUGUCACAGGGCAGCUUUAAUGGCAUCCACUCUUCUGGAAGGAUUUUCUACAAGACUACAAGAGUGUGCCUGAGGGAAUUUGUUCCCAUUCACUUAACGAAGUCAGGGCAGAGUGAGGGCAGUUCUCAGUUUGAUGUAUCUGGCUAUCAGUUCAUUGCGACCUGUAGAGAGAAGA